rnacentral:rRNA from 1 species
GGGGGAUAACGUUCCGAAAGGGACGCUAAUACCGCAUGACAUUUCGCUUUUGAAGAGGCGGAAAUCAAAGCUGGGGAUCGCAAGACCUAGCACUCGAAGAGGGGCCCGCGUCCGAUUAGCUAGUUGGUGAGGUAAUGGCUCACCAAGGCAACGAUCGGUAGCCGGCCUGAGAGGGCGGACGGCCACACUGGGACUGAGACACGGCCCAGACUCCUACGGGAGGCAGCAGUGGGGAAUUUUGGGCAAUGGGCGCAAGCCUGACCCAGCAACGCCGCGUG